GAUGAACGCUGGCGGCGUGCCUAAUACAUGCAAGUCGAGCGAACAGAUGAGGAGCUUGCUCCUCUGACGUUAGCGGCGGACGGGUGAGUAACACGUGGAUAACCUACCUAUAAGACUGGGAUAACUUCGGGAAACCGGUGCUAAUACCGGAUAAUAUAUUCAACCGCAUGGUUCAAUAGUGAAAGACGGUUUUGCUGUCACCUAUAGAUGGAUCCGCGUCGCAUUAGCUAGUUGGUAAGGUAACGGCUUACCAAGGCAACGAUGCGUAGCCGACCUGAGAGGGUGAUCGGCCACACUGGAACUGAGACACGGUCCAGACUCCUACGGGAGGCAGCAGUAGGGAAUCUUGCGCAAUGGGCGAAAUCCUGACGGAGCAACGCCGCGUGGGUGAUGAAGGUCUUCGGAUCGUAAAACUCUGUUAUUAGGGAAGAACAAAUGUGUAAGUAACUAUGCACGUCUUGACGGUACCUAAACAGAAAGCAACGGCUAACUACGUG
rnacentral:rRNA from 1 species